rnacentral:rRNA from 1 species
UACGUAGGGGGCUAGCGUUGUCCGGAAUCAUUGGGCGUAAAGCGCGUGUAGGCGGUCCGGUAAGUCCGCUGUGAAAGUCGAGGGCUCAACCCUCGAAUGCCGGUGGAUACUGUCGGGCUUGAGUACGGGAGAGGCGAGUGGAAUUCCUGGUGUAGCGGUGAAAUGCGCAGAUAUCAGGAGGAACACCGAUGGCGAAGGCAGCCUCCUGGACGGGUACUGACGCUGAGGCGCGAAAGCGUGGGGAGCGAACGGG